AUGGGUGCGGUGCUGAGUGUAUUGAUGAUUUGUCAAUUACAAACUUAGAAUCGAGUAUCUUGAGCCAAACAAAUGUUCGGGAUGGAGAGAAUACUUACCAUAAAGGAACUUCUUAGAAACAAGGACAAGGAUUUCAAGUGCCGAAUUCCAUGAAUUCCUCUACGGUACACCUGAAAAAUUACUCACCAUCAACGUCUUAAAUAGUUGCACUUUUAGUAGAAA
rnacentral:lncRNA from 1 species